GGCAAGACUCACCCUGCAAUGGGGGAACAUAGUACCCUGCUGCUCCCUGGGGAAUACUUUAAUGCUUGCAACUAGCAGUGCACUUUCACUUGCUCUAGGUGUGACCUGCCUUCUCCAGUGCUUCCAGGGAGAAGUCUGAAAUGCAUUUGCUGCGUGCAGAAUCUCACCAUCAGUGAAGACUUAAAGCUUCAGAAAGAAACUGUGUAUUAAAAAUGGACACAAACUAUUGUCAUCUUUUAUCCUCUGAAGGAAAUUAAAGCAGAAUAAUAAGGGAAUGUGCUUUUGGAUAAUGAGGGGCAGGAAAGUGUGCAUGAGAUGACAACAGAAAGUAGUAACAGGAAAGAACAUUUUCUCUCCAUUUCAAGAAAGAAACCUCAAAAAAAUAAGAGGAAUGUUUUCAUUAAAGGGGGAAUCAUCUCUAGUUAUACUUUGUUUGUCAUCUUCCACUGCAAAGCUUUCAUUAGUAGUCUUCCACAUUCUAUCUUAUUUUGA